rnacentral:rRNA from 1 species
AUGAACGCUGGCGGCGUGCCUAAUACCUGCAAGUCAAGCGAACAGACGAGGAGCUUGCUCCUCUGACGUUAGCGGCGGACGGGUGAGUAACACGUGGAUAACCUACCUAUAAGACUGGGAUAACUUCGGGAAACCGGAGCUAAUACCGGAUAAUAUAUUGAACCGCAUGGUUCAAUAGUGAAAGACGGUUUUGCUGUCACUUAUAGAUGGAUCCGCGCCGCAUUAGCUAGUUGGUAAGGUAACGGCUUACCAAGGCAACGAUGCGUAGCCGACCUGAGAGGGUGAUCGGCCACACUGGAACUGAGACACGGUCCAGACUCCUACGGGAGGCAGCAGUAGGGAAUCUUCCGCAAUGGGCGAAAGCCUGACGGAGCAACGCCGCGUGAGUGAUGAAGGUCUUCGGAUCGUAAAACUCUGUUAUUAGGGAAGAACAAAUGUGUAAGUAACUAUGCACGUCUUGACGGUACCUAAUCAGAAAGCCACGGCUAACUACGUG